rnacentral:misc_RNA from 1 species
GACAGCGUAAGUAUUGUGUGAGGUUGUUACAUGUAAAACUCCACCAGAUGAAGGUCAUCGCCAUGGUGCCCAAUGUUGAUACCGAUUUAGACAGCGUAAGUAUUGUGUGAGGUUGUUAUAUGUAAAACUCCACCAGAUGAAGGUCAUCGCCAUGGUGCCCAAUGUUGAUGCCGAUUUAGACAGCGAGUACCACUUUGUCAGGAGUAAUGAAUACGCUUUAAUCUGCCACAAGCUGCGAAGAAUCACAGACCCAAAACAAAAACAGAAGCUUGAUGAUUAUAACGUUGGACUUGUAAUUACCCAUGAUUCCCAGCAAGUGAACUUUCAGAGUGAGGCUGAACGGACCUUACUGAAGUUGAACUACUAUGUGGUGAUGACGAGCUGUAGAGAGCUUUUCCCCAAGGCCACCAUCGACAGUAAGGUUGGCACCAAGGGUGUGUUCCUGGAGGAGCUCAGAGAUCGAAGCAAGCCUGUCCCGGUAAAGCAGCACAUCGGAGUGAGACAGGAGACAUUGAAGACCUCCCGUACGUCCGACGUCCACGACACGCCAGGGUACAACCUGCUCAUGGAGGAGGCACAACUUGCAAGGGAGAAAAUUGAGAGCAUGGUGGAAGUUUCGACAGAAAAAUGUCGUAAAGAUUUGUUGUGGCAGCGCAUGUUGGUCGGGGAACAAUCCGAGGAGGACGGGAGACGUAAAAAACGCAGCGAGACGGAAGAGAGUCGAGAUUGGUACCAGAAGCUGUCGUUUGAGGAGUUCCUGGAGCUAUUGGCGAAGGUUGUGAGGACGCCAUUGGGUGAGCUUGACCCGAUGCUCAUCCAGCUUCAGACCAUGAACUUCCUGUGGUACAAAGGCCUGUUCCGGGUCAUACAGACGCAUUAUCCUGACACGCAUCGCUGCUUCUUCAGUCACGAUGGACAAACACAGUACAUUCUCAUCCUCAAUCCUAACUACCUGGACAUGUUUAUGAUGCUGAUGUUGGACAACACGGAGAAAAGGACAGAACUGUGUGCGAUAUUCCGAGAGUCCUUCACAGACCAGGAACACAGUCCAGAGAACCCUAACCUGAAUGUACUGGGCAUGCACUCACAUGUGGAGGACUUUGUCAAUGUCUGCUGCUACCACCUCUGGGCGUCCAUGGUGUGACAUCACAGACACAUGAAGUGCCAUCACAGGUGUGCCGUGGCAUCACAGCCAAAGGCAGUGACAUCACAUGACAGUGUGACAUCACAGAGCAAAAAUAAAAUACAUGAUAAAUAAUGGUGUGACAUAUCACAGACACAUGAAAUGACAUCACAGGCCAACAAAAUGACAUCAUCGGUGUGCAAUGACAUCACAGCCCCAGGAAGUGACGUACAUCACAUGACAGUGUGAAAACACAGAGCAAUUUUUUUUUUUAUAUGUAACUGUGUGACAUUACAAGUCUGCGUAAUGAUUGCACAGGUCAACAGCAGUGUCACAGGUCAACAGCAGUGUCACAGGUCAACAACAUGACAUCACAUGUAAUAGUGUGGCAUUUUGAUAUCACAGGUGUACAUAAUCACAUCAUAUAUGUAAUUAUCAACUUACAUGAUUACAAUGAGAAACACUUUAGGUGAUAUAUUUGUCUAAACAAAAACAUUCAUUAGAGGCCAUCUGUGACAGUCCGACGUCUUCUAGAGGCCAUCUGUGACAGUCCGACGUCUUCUAGAGGCCAUCUGUGACAGUCCGACGUCUUCUAGAGGCCAUCUGUGACAGUUCGACGUCUUCAAGGAAGUGUUCACAUUUGUGUGAAAACAUACUUUUAAGUGGACUGUGGAAGUGCUAAAGCAGUAUUCACGUGACAUUGAGGCUAGGGACAUCAAGUUUGGUGUCCUAUAGACAGGGGAGACUGGUACCAAGCAGUGUUGAGCUCAAACUUUAGGGCAUGAGAUUAUGUUUUUAUUGAAAAUUCUUCAGUCUUCCCUUAAUCUACAAAUUGAAACCAAGGUUAGUGAUAUCCAUGUGUGCACGGUAAUUAAUAAUUCUUUUUAUCUACUUCGUAUAAAGGAAAACUUAUGUGUGCAUUGCAACCAAGUACACAGCAUAUUGAAAGUAAGGAGGCUGAAUUUUGAGCUUGACAUAUGUAAGAGUUUAGAGAGUAUUUUUUUUUAAGCAUAAUUAAAUUUUAUACAAUGGAGAAUGAGAUCCAGGAUCCGCUAGAAGUAUUUUCAGCAAGGAUCAGCCUACCCCAGUUAAUGGAUUCCUAGAUAGAAUUCACUAGUCAGGCCAGACGAAUUUCAAAAGAAGAUAUAACCAUACAACAUGAAAUGGGGAGUCUCGUCAACUUCGAUUUUUAACUUAAAACUGAAUUUUAUGAAAUUAAUAUACUGUAGAUUUCAAAAUGUUUUCAGUCCUGUAUCAGUUUGAACAUAAAAAUUGUGGAAGAUUCUUUUCUUUAUGAUUUGACUAUUGUUGAAAAACAGUUUAAACAUAAAAUUAUGGAAGAUUCUUUUCUACAUGAUUUGACUAUUGUUGAAAAGCUAUCAGAUAAUCAUCACGAUAUAAUGGGUA